GAUGAACGCUGGCGGCGUGCCUAAUACAUGCAAGUCGAGCGAACAGAUGAGGAGCUUGCUCCUCUGACGUUAGCGGCGGACGGGUGAGUAACACGUGGAUAACCUACCUAUAAGACUGGGAUAACUUCGGGAAACCGGAGCUAAUACCGGAUAAUAUAUUGAACCGCAUGGUUCAAUAGUGAAAGACGGUUUUGCUGUCACUUAUAGAUGGAUCCGCGCCGCAUUAGCUAGUUGGUAAGGUAACGGCUUACCAAGGCAACGAUGCGUAGCCGACCGGAGAGGGUGGUCGGCCAACCUGGAACUGAGCCACGGUACAGACUACUACGGGAGGCAGCAGUAGGGAAUCUUCCGCAAUGGGCGAAAGCCUGACGGAGCAACGCCGCGUGAGUGAUGAAGGUCUUCGGAUCGUAAAACUCUGUUAUUAGGGAAGAACAAAUGUGUAAGUACCUAUGCACGUCUUGACGGUACCUAAUCAGAAAGCCACGGCUAACUACGUG
rnacentral:rRNA from 1 species